UACGGGGGGGGCAAGCGUUGUUCGGAAUUACUGGGCGUAAAGGGCUCGUAGGCGGCCAACUAAGUCAGACGUGAAAUCCCUCGGCUUAACCGGGGAACUGCAUCUGAUACUGGAUGGCUUGAGUUCGGGAGAGGGAUGCGGAAUUCCAGGUGUAGCGGUGGAAUGCGCAGAUAUCAGGAAGAACACCAACGGCGAAGGCAGCUCGCUGGGACGGUACUGACGCUGAGACGCGAAAGCGUGGGGAGCGAACAGG
rnacentral:rRNA from 1 species